rnacentral:rRNA from 1 species
UGGGGGAUAUUGGACAAUGGGGGAACCCUGAUCCAGCGACGCCGCGUGAGUGAAGAAGUAUUUCGGUAUGUAAAGCUCUAUCAGCAGGGAAGAAGAAAUGACGGUACCUGAGUAAGAAGCCCCGGCUAACUACGUGCCAGCAGCCGCGGUAAUACGUAGGGGGCAAGCGUUAUCCGGAAUUACUGGGUGUAAAGGGAGCGUAGACGGCAUGGCAAGUCUGAAGUGAAAGCCCGGGGCUCAACCCCGGGACUGCUUUGGAAACUGUCAGGCUAGAGUGCUGGAGAGGUAAGUGGAAUUCCAUGUGUAGCGGUGAAAUGCGUAGAUAUAUGGAGGAACACCAGUGGCGAAGGCGACGAUCUGGCGCACAACUGACGCUCAGUCCCGAAAGCGUGGGGAGCAAACAGGAUUAGAUACC